GCGGUGGAGCAUGUGGUUUAAUUCGAAGCAACGCGAAGAACCUUACCAGGUCUUGACCAUCCCCUGACAACCCGAGAGAUCGGGCGUUCCCCUUCGGGGGACAGGGUGACAGGUGGUGCAUGGUUGUCGUCAGCUCGUGUCGUGAGAUGUUGGGUUAAGUCCCGCAACGAGCGCAACCCUCGACCUUAGUUGCCAGCAUUCAGUUGGGCACUCUAGCGAGACUGCCGGUAAUAAACCGGAGGAAGUGGGGAUGACGUCAAAUCAUCAUGCCCCUUAUGACCUGGGCUACACACGUGCUACAAUGGUUGGUACAACGAGUUGCGAGUCGGUGACGGCGAGCUAAUCUCUUAAAGCCAAUCUCAGUUCGGAUUGUAGGCUGCAACUCGCCUACAUGAAGUCGGAAUCGCUAGUAAUCGCGGAUCAGCACGCCGCGGUGAAUACGUUCCCGGGCCUU
rnacentral:rRNA from 1 species